UAUAGAGUAAUGUAACCAUAUAAGCAUAAUGCUUUUUGGUAGCAUAAGAGGCAGUGUCCCUCUAUA
rnacentral:tRNA from 1 species